GCAGCCGCCGCGGUAAUACGAAGGGGGCUAGCGUUGUUCGGAAUUACUGGGCGUAAAGGGCGCGUAGGCGGCCAUUCAAGUUAGAUGUGAAAGCCCUGGGCUCAACCUAGGAAUUGCAUUUGAUACUGUUUGGCUUGAGUUCGGGAGAGGUGAGUGGAAUUCCCAGUGUAGAGGUGAAAUUCGUAGAUAUUGGGAAGAACACCAGUGGCGAAGGCGGCUCACUGGACCGAUACUGACGCUGAGGCACGAAAGCGUGGGGAGCAAACAGGAUUAGAGACCCCAGUAGUCCCUGUCUCUUAUAC
rnacentral:rRNA from 1 species